GGGCUUGUGGUCUAGUGGUAUGAUACUCCCUUCGCAUGUCCAAAGAGACGUCUUUGGAGGAUAGUAUGAUUGGGAGGGGUCCGGGGUUCAAUUCCCUGCAAGUCCA